CCUGACGGAGCAAUACCGCGUGAGGGAAGACGGCCUAUGGGUUGUAAACCUCUUUUUUCAGGGAGGAAUCAAUGACGUGUACCUGAAGAAUAAGCAUCGGCUAACUCCGUGCCAGCAGCCGCGGUAAGACGGAGGAUGCAAGUGUUAUCCGGAAUCACUGGGCGUAAAGCGUCUGUAGGUGGUUGAACAAGUCAACUGUUAAAUCUUGAGGCUCAACUUCAAAAUCGCAGUCGAAACUGUUUGACUAGAGUAUAGUAGGGGUAAAGGGAAUUUCCAGUGGAGCGGUGAAAUGCGUAGAUAUUGGAAAGAACACCGAUGGCGAAGGCACUUUACUGGGCUAUUACUGACACUCAGAGACGAAAGCUAGGGUAGCAAAUGGGAUUAGAUACCCCAGUAGUCCUAGCCGUAAACAAUGGAUACUAGAUGUUGAACAGAUCGACCUGUGCAGUAUCAAAGCUAACGCGUUAAGUAU
rnacentral:rRNA from 1 species